UGAGCGUGAAAGACAAUCGCUGACGAUGAUAUCGUUUGAGGAAAGUCCGGGCUCCACAGGGCAGUGUGCUGGAUAACGUCCAGCGAGGGUGACCUUAGGGAAAGUGUCAUAGAAAAGGAAACCGCCUGCUUGACCUGUCAGGCAGGUAAGGGUGGAAAGGUGCGGUAAGAGCGCACCAGUAGUCAGGUGACUGGCUGGCUUGAUAAACCCCACAUGGAGCAAGACCGAAUAGGGAAGGAUAUGAAGUGGCCCGCUGACCUUCCGGGUGUGUCGCUAGAAUUACCAGGUAACUGGUAAUCCAGAUAAAUGAUUGUCACCGCGCAAGCGGAACAGAACUCGGCUUAUUGAACACUCAUGAC
rnacentral:RNase_P_RNA from 1 species